rnacentral:lncRNA from 1 species
UUGAUGGAGGAGGAGGACGCAGCCCGUCCCCUGGGUAGUUGAUGGAGGAGGGCGCAGUACGGUUGCUGAUCCCGUUAACUGUUUCAGGGGGUGUUUUAACGUCACGGAAUGAGAUCAAAUGUCCACCUCGCAGGUUGUGUAGAGAUGCAAGCAGGAGACUCUUGAGUGAGUGUUCUGGGGCCUGCGGAUAUACUGGGUGAGGGGAGUGCUGGUGCUGAGUUGGGCCAAGAGCCCGUGGGCGUGGGCUGUGCACCGGGUGAGGGGCUGAGGCGUGUCCGCAGCAGUACCUGGUGGUCGACCCCUUCUCCUGGCUGUGUGGUUGCCUGCCCUGCCUCUGCCUCUCAGAAUGUGAGUCUUCCGGGCUCCAGGGACAGGGUUGCCUGUGGACGGCACCUGUGCCUCUCCACGUCUGAGCUCUCAGGCGUCUGGGGUGCGCGGCUGCCCUUUUCCCCAGGUCCGUGCCAGGUGUGGUGGGGUCAGUGGUGUGGCUCAUGGGAAUCGGGAGUGGAUCCUCGCUGGGCUCUCAGGCGCCUCGGGCACGUAGCUGCCCUUGUCCCCAGGCCCCUGCUCGGUGUGGUGGGGGCUCAGUGGCGCAGAGCAGCCACCCAGAGUGGGGUCCGUGGCAGCAUGGUGUGGCCUCCUGGGUGGAGGUGGCCCCUGCAGUGGAGUACGUGUGUGGUCCCCCGCAGGGAUUGCAGUGUGUCCUCUCCCAGCUGGGAUCAGGUGGCCUCAGCACCGUCGGCCCUAGAGAGGCCCCGUGUAUUGUCCGGGUGAAGAAGGCGUUCGAUGCUCCCAGGUUCUAACUGAGCGCUGUCUGUCGACUCUUCAGGUUCAGACGCGGAAAGAAGAGCCUCUGCCCCCGGCUACGAGCCAAAGCAUUCCGACCUUCUACUUCCCCAGAGGACGCCCGCAGGACUCCGUCAACGUGGAUGCCGUCAUCAGCAAGAUCGAGAGCACCUUCGCCCGGUUCCCCCACGAGAGGGCCACCAUGGACGACAUGGGCCUGGUGGCCAAGGUUCAGACGCGGAAAGAAGAGCCUCUGCCCCCGGCCACGAGCCAAAGCAUUCCGACCUUCUACUUCCCCAGAGGACACCCGCAGGACUCCAUCAACGUGGAUGCCGUCAUCAGCAAGAUCGAGAGCACCUUCGCCCGGUUCCCCCACGAGAGGGCCACCAUGGACGACAUGGGCCUGGUGCACAAGGACGUGGUGAACACGCACCCGGGGCUGUCGUUCCUGAAGGAGGCGUCCGAGUUUCACUCGCGCUACAUCACCACGGUGGGUCCCCAGCGGAGAGGCCGUCGGUUCCAGCGCGGGGCGCGGGUGUUUCUGCAGCGGUCGCCGCGGGGCUUCUGCGGAGCGGGGCGGGCGGGGCCCGGGGGUCCUGAUCUUCCGGAGGAGGCGGCCGCGCCCUGGGAGAGUCUCCGCCCGCCCGGGAGCCCAGUGUUGGGGGGACUCUGGUUUUCGGGGUGGCCGCGCCCCUUUCCCACCUGUCCUGGGCCCGUGUAGCUCCGGGGCGUCCCCGGCCAGACCCUCCCCGCUUUCCGCGGCCUGGGGUGGCGCCUCCCGCAGGGCCCUUCCCGCUGCCCCCGCCUGUGCCCUGGCGGGCCCCGUGCGGCUGAGACCAA